rnacentral:rRNA from 1 species
UACGGAGGGUGCGAGCGUUAUCCGGAUUCACUGGGUUUAAAGGGUGCGUAGGUGGGCAUGUAAGUCAGUGGUGAAAUCUCUGAGCUUAACUCAGAAACUGCCAUUGAUACUAUGUUUCUUGAAUUUUCUGGAGGUCAGCGGAAUAUGUCAUGUAGCGGUGAAAUGCUUAGAUAUGACAUAGAACACCAAUUGCGAAGGCAGCUGGCUACAGGGAUAUUGACACUGAGGCACGAAAGCGUGGGGAUCAAACAGG